rnacentral:lncRNA from 1 species
UAUUACUUUGGAACUCCAGAAGGAGAAAAAAAACAUCGUUGAUGAGAAGUGUGCUCAGAUCAGAUCACAUUCAAGGCUACGGAAAUGUUGAGAAUGUUACAAAAUCUGAGCAAAUAAUUAAGGGAUUUUUUUUUUCUUCUUGCAACUUUUAGAAAGCGAUCUGUAGCUCAUGUCUACAUUACAACUUCUGCUCCGCAUAUUCUCAGAGCGGAACAUCUGUUUUCACUUCCCUCAUCCUGAGGGCCACACAUACCAUCCUCACUCCCCAAAGCAAAACACUGAUGGUUUGGUUUAAAACUGUCCGCAGUACAUUUCUGAACAUCGUUCUCCCAGGCCACGUGUUCAGUUAAAGACAUCCCUACCAUCACAAGCUUCCCUUUAAAAUGCUUAUGAGCCAAUAGAAAAGCAAAUAUACAAAUAUCAGAAGUGCCAAUCCUGAGAUGAAAUAUGGGAAAUUCGGGUCCAGUUUGAUCAUUAUUCAAACUUCUGUUUCAGUUUCUUCUGGAAGAGAGCUGGUAGGAUGGAGAGGAUGGCUAGAAUCAUGAGAACAAAAAGAGAGUUCCAGGAAACAGCUUCCCCUGCUGUUGUAAGUUGGUAUAGUGUUGUUCCUGCCUUAAUGGCUACAAAAGAUGGUGGUGCCACACCUAGAAAAGUGCCAAUGAAAAAUACUUUUAAUGGCACAUUUAUUACAGGAGAUGUUAUAUUGAUAAACCAAUUAGGAAGAAACGGUGUUAUUCUCAAGAAUAUUAUGUAGUUAAUGAGGUGUUCUCUGUGACGCUCAACCUGUUCUGACCACUUCACUGCUUUUUCGGUUAAGUAUUUGUAUACAACAGGUCGCCCCACUAAGUAUGAAAGCAUGUAGCAGAAUGAAGCUCCAAGUCCCGAGCACUGAAAAAAGAAAACACAAAAAGCAACAAAUUGGCAGAAAAGCUCUGAUUAACAUUAGCCCUGUGUCCCUGCAACUACACUGUCUGGAU